UACGAAGGGGGCUAGCGUUGCUCGGAAUCACUGGGCGUAAAGGGUGCGUAGGCGGGUCUUUAAGUCAGGGGUGAAAUCCUGGAGCUCAACUCCAGAACUGCCUUUGAUACUGAAGAUCUUGAGUUCGGGAGAGGUGAGUGGAACUGCGAGUGUAGAGGUGAAAUUUCGUAGAUAUUCGCAAGAACACCAGUGGCGAAGGCGGCUCACUGGCCCGAUACUGACGCUGAGGCACGAAAGCGUGGGGGAGCAAACAGG
rnacentral:rRNA from 1 species